AGGCACGGAUAUCCCCGCCCGAAGAAAAAAAGAACACAGGACAAUGGUUGCAAGUUAAACAGCUGAACAUUUCACCAUCUGCAAAGAACAUUUCACCAUCAACAUAUUAACAUAAACGGUUCUCUUUUUCUUGUUUGACUGCGUUUGGUACAGGUCACAACAACGACGGCAGAUGUAGAGACCACGCUUUCCCUUGCUUCCACUCCACGGCUGAUCAUGCUUGAGGAUCCAGAUCUACAAAACAAAAAAUGGAUGCUGCCGAUUGAAGGCUAAGUCCGAUUUCCUGCGAUUGACCUACCAUUUCUUCAGCAUUUGCUGUUCACUUUGGUUGCUACUACGUGCUCAACAUCGAGUACCAAGUGGAAGCAGCCACUACUUUGGAGUUUAUUCAGAGAUUUAUUGUGAGGAUCAGCCCCGACAACAGCAAGUGCUCCUCUAACUUCCAGGUGAGCAAAAGAAGUGGGAAGAUGGUGCAAAGGAAGAACUCUGGCCUGAACCAUCAUGUAUAUAUCCACCUUUAUUAAGGACUUUAUGAAUUAAGCAAAACUAUUAAGCAACUAAAGCAAAUACAUUCUACUCAACUCACCAGAGGUUUGUGAAGUUCUUUUUUUUUCUUAAAGGUUUCUUUUAGUUAAUUUGUCCAUGCACUGAUUUAUAAUAUUGUAAUAUGAAACUCCAGUGUAUACAUGUUACUACUGUUGCUUCUAAAAGCAAAAUAAGUCUAUGCAGGAGAGGUUUUGUUACGUUUUUUUUUUUUAAUUAUUCUUAUAGACGGUUUCAUCGGACGCACAUGACACACGUCUGGAUCCGAUCCUUACUUCCGGUUUCGCUUUUUUAAUGGUCUGACUAGUUGCUAAACUGAUCUCUUGAACAAAAGCCUCGUUGAAAAUAACAAAUGUUUUGGUUUCCGAGCUAAUCUAUGUGUUGUUUUUUUGCUUGUUAUAUAAAUAAAAUGCGUUUAAAGAACUUUGUUGUUUUUUAUUCUUAGCGGAGUUUAUCGGAAGUUCAUGCGGACCGCGACAGCCGCUUGUUUAUGAUGUUACUGCUGAAACCGUCUAUAGUUAUAACUGAAUUUGUACUAGUAUUAUUUGAUAAUACUGUGAAAUGAAACAGUGAGUAAAUGUUACAUUGGCUUUGAAAAAGCUGUUGCUGCAAGAAAUUACAAUUUACUCAGAAUAAUAUUUUGAAUGUAUAAGUUUUUGACAUUGCUUAUGACUGCAUUUGAAUGUAUUGUUCAUGAAUUGAUGUUGUGAUAUGUGUGUGUAAAUGUUUUGUAUUUUACUCAGGAAAGUAUUUUGUAUUUGAACAUUGUUAUUAUGACUGAGUUAGUUCAUGACUUGAUUUAAAAUUCUGUAAUAUGAUAUCUAUGAGUAAAUGUUAUUGCAGGUUUAAGAAAAACAGUUUGUGAUGCAAGCUGAAAGUUCAGUGUGCAAAAAAUAUGAAAAUCUGAUUUCAUGUAUUUGAAAAACUAAAAGAAAUUUUAAAAACAUGUUGUCAUUGCUUAUUUUUGUUAUUUACUUAGAGCUGUUUUAACACCUCCAUUUAAAUUUUGUGCAGUUUUGUAGUAAAUAGAAAUGGGAAAAUGAAUCACAGGA